AGAAACCUAAUUUCUUCAAAGACUUUCAUUCCAUGAACUAUUGAGAUACUGGACUCAAAUCGAUCAGGAAAAAGAGGUCUAGAGAAGCAACGAAAAUUUCACAGGGAAGAAGCAAGAGGGAGAAGCUGGAGUCCUUUAAAUACUGUACAAUUUCUGGAAGAUUAUUUAGUAUAUUCUCCUAUUAAAUUCUGGUAAGCAGAUCCACUUACAAUAUGGAUCCAUUAUUGAUGAAAUAAUUGAUUAGCUCUAUAAGUUCCACCCAACUCUUUAUAAUAUUAUGAG
rnacentral:lncRNA from 1 species